rnacentral:rRNA from 1 species
AUUGAACGCUGGCGGUAUGCUUAAGACAUGCAAGUCGAACGGUAACAGACCUUCGGGUGCUGACGAGUGGCGGACGGGUGAGUAACACGUGGGAAUCUACCUUGUAGUGGGGGAUAAGCCAGGGAAACUUGGACUAAUACCGCAUACGCCCUAAGGGGGAAAGGCGCAAGUCGCUAUAAGAUGAGCCCGCGUCUGAUUAGGUAGUUGGUGGGGUAAAGGCCUACCAAGCCGACGAUCAGUAGCUGGUCUGAGAGGAUGAUCAGCCACGUCGGGACUGAGACACGGCCCGGACUCCUACGGGAGGCAGCAGUCGGGAAUAUUGGACAAUGGGGGAAACCCUGAUCCAGCAAUACCGCGUGUGUGAAGAAGGCCUGCGGGUUGUAAAGCACUUUCAGUUGGGAAGAUAAUGACGUUACCAACAGAAGAAGCACCG